AUGAACGCUGGCGGCGUGCCUAAUACAUGCAAGUCGAGCGAACAGACGAGGAGCUUGCUCCUCUGACGUUAGCGGCGGACGGGUGAGUAACACGUGGAUAACCUACCUAUAAGACUGGGAUAACUUCGGGAAACCGGAGCUAAUACCGGAUAAUAUAUUGAACCGCAUGGUUCAAUAGUGAAAGACGGUUUUGCUGUCACUUAUAGAUGGAUCCGCGCCGCAUUAGCUAGUUGGUAAGGUAACGGCUUACCAAGGCAACGAUGCGUAGCCGACCUGAGAGGGUGAUCGGCCACACUGGAACUGAGACACGGUCCAGACUCCUACGGGAGGCAGCAGUAGGGAAUCUUCCGCAAUGGGCGAAAGCCUGACGGAGCAACGCCGCGUGAGUGGUGAAGGUCUUCGGAUCGUAAAACUCUGUUAUUAGGGAAGAACAAAUGUGUAAGUAACUAUGCACGUCUUGACGGUACCUAAUCAGAAAGCCACGGCUAACUACGUG
rnacentral:rRNA from 1 species